AUGAACGCUAGCUACAGGCUUAACACAUGCAAGUCGAGGGGCAGCAUCAUCAAAGCUUGCUUUGAUGGAUGGCGACCGGCGCACGGGUGAGUAACACGUAUCCAACCUGCCGACAACACUGGGAUAGCCUUUCGAAAGAAAGAUUAAUACCGGAUGGCAUAGUUUUCCCGCAUGGGAUAAUUAUUAAAGAAUUUCGGUUGUCGAUGGGGAUGCGUUCCAUUAGGCAGUUGGCGGGGUAACGGCCCACCAAACCAACGAUGGAUAGGGGUUCUGAGAGGAAGGUCCCCCACAUUGGAACUGAGACACGGUCCAAACUCCUACGGGAGGCAGCAGUGAGGAAUAUUGGUCAAUGGACGAGAGUCUGAACCAGCCAAGUAGCGUGAAGGAUGACUGCCCUAUGGGUUGUAAACUUCUUUUAUACGGGAAUAAAGUUAGCCACGUGUGGCUUUUUGUAUGUACCGUAUGAAUAAGGAUCGGCUAACUCCGUGCCAGCAGCCGCGGUAAUACGGAGGAUCCGAGCGUUAUCCGGAUUUAUUGGGUUUAAAGGGAGCGUAGGCGGGUUGUUAAGUCAGUUGUGAAAGUUUGCGGCUCAACCGUAAAAUUGCAGUUGAUACUGGCGACCUUGAGUGCAACAGAGGUAGGCGGAAUUCGUGGUGUAGCGGUGAAAUGCUUAGAUAUCACGAAGAACUCCGAUUGCGAAGGCAGCUUACUGGAUUGUAACUGACGCUGAUGCUCGAAAGUGUGGGUAUCAAACAGGAUUAGAUACCCUGGUAGUCCACACAGUAAACGAUGAAUACUCGCUGUUGGCGAUAUACGGUCAGCGGCCAAGCGAAAGCAUUAAGUAUUCCACCUGGGGAGUACGCCGGCAACGGUGAAACUCAAAGGAAUUGACGGGGGCCCGCACAAGCGGAGGAACAUGUGGUUUAAUUCGAUGAUACGCGAGGAACCUUACCCGGGCUUAAAUUGCAACUGACGGAAUCGGAAACGGUUCUUUCUUCGGACAGUUGUGAAGGUGCUGCAUGGUUGUCGUCAGCUCGUGCCGUGAGGUGUCGGCUUAAGUGCCAUAACGAGCGCAACCCUUACGGGUAGUUACCAUCAGGUUAUGCUGGGGACUCUACCCGGACUGCCGUCGUAAGAUGUGAGGAAGGUGGGGAUGACGUCAAAUCAGCACGGCCCUUACGUCCGGGGCUACACACGUGUUACAAUGGGGGGUACAGAAGGCAGCUACACGGCGACGUGGUGCUAAUCCCGAAAGCCUCUCUCAGUUCGGAUUGGAGUCUGCAACCCGACUCCAUGAAGCUGGAUUCGCUAGUAAUCGCGCAUCAGCCACGGCGCGGUGAAUACGUUCCCGGGCCUUGUACACACCGCCCGUCACACCACGAAAGUUGGUAACACCCGAAGCCGGUGAGGUAACCUAUUAGGAGCCAGCCGUCUAAGGUGGGGCCGAUGAUUGGGGUG
rnacentral:rRNA from 1 species